rnacentral:rRNA from 1 species
AUUGAACGCUGGCGGCAGGCCUAACACAUGCAAGUCGAACGAGUGGCGGACGGGUGAGUAAUGUCUGGGAAACUGCCUGAUGGAGGGGGAUAACUACUGGAAACGGUAGCUAAUACCGCAUACCAUCGGAUGUGCCCAGAGGGGAUUAGCUAGUAGGUGGGGGAAAGGCUCACCUAGGCGACGAUCCCUAGCUGGUCUGAGAGGAUGACCAGGCAGACUGGAACGGAGACACGGUCGAGACGGCUACGGGGGGCAGCAGUGGGGAAUAGUGCACAAUGGGCGCAAGCCUGAGGCAGACAGGCCGCGUGUAUGAAGAAGGCCGUCGGGUUGGAAAGUACUGUCAGCGGGGAGGCGUGACCCGCAGAAGAAGCACCGGCGAACUCCGGGCCAGCCGCCGCGGUAAUAC